rnacentral:snRNA from 1 species
AAACUUACCUGGCAGGGGAGAUACCAUGAUCACAAAGGUGGCUUUCCCAGGGUGAGGCUCAUCCUUUGCACUGCAGGUGUGCUGAUCCCUGCGAUUUCCCCAAAUGUGGGAAACUCAACUGCAUAAUUGGUGCUAGUGGUGGACUGCGUUCAUGCUUUCCCCUG